rnacentral:rRNA from 1 species
CAGUAGCCACGGUAAUACGUAGGGUGCAAGCGUUAAUCGGAAUUACUGGGCGUAAAGCGUGCGCAGGCGGUUUGUUAAGACAGAUGUGAAAUCCCUGGGCUCAACCUGGGGACUGCAUUUGAUACGUAUGGACUUGAGUGGAGAAGAGGGUUGUGGAAUUUCCAGUGUAGAGGUGAAAUGCGUAGAGAUCUGGAGGAAUACCGGUGGCGAAGGCGGCCCCCUGGACGAAGACUGACGCUCAGGUACGAAAGCGUGGGGAGCAAACAGGAUUAGAUACCCCUGUAGUCCCUGUCUCUUAUAA